rnacentral:rRNA from 1 species
UACGUAUGGUGCGAACGUUGUUCGGAAUCACUGGGCAUAAAGAGCACGUAGGCGGUUGAGCAAGUCCAUUGUGAAAUCCCCCGGCCUAACCGAGGAACUGCAGUGGAUACUACUUGACUUGAGUGCAGAAGGGGAGAGUGGAAUUCCUGGUGGAGCGGUGAAAUGCGUAGAUAUCAGGAGGAACGCCGGUGGCGAAAGCGACUCUCUGGUCUGCUACUGACGCUGAGGUGCGAAAGCUAGGGGAGCAAACGGG